UACACAUGACAGUCGAACGGUGAGGCUCAGCAUUGCUGGGUGGAUCAGUGGCGAACGGGUGAGUAACACGUGAGCAACCUGCCCCCUACUUCGGGAUAAGCCUUGGAAACGGGGUCUAAUACCGGAUAUGAACACGUGCCGCAUGGUGGGUGUUGGAAAGUUUUUCGGUGGGGGAUGGGCUCGCGGCCUAUCAGCUUGUUGGUGGGGUAAUGGCCUACCAAGGCGUCGACGGGUAGCCGGCCUGAGAGGGCGACCGGCCACACUGGGACUGAGACACGGCCCAGACUCCUACGGGAGGCAGCAGUGGGGAAUAUUGCACAAUGGGCGAAAGCCUGAUGCAGCGACGCCACGUGAGGGAUGACGGCCUUCGGGUUGUAAACCUCUUUCAGCAGGGAAGAAGCGCAAGUGACGGUACCUGCAGAAGAAGCGCCGGCUAACUACGUGCCAGCAGCCGCGGUAAUACGUAGGGCGCAAGCGUUGUCCGGAAUUAUUGGGCGUAAAGAGCUCGUAGGCGGUCUGUCGCGUCUGGUGUGAAAUCCCAUGGCUCAACUGUGGGCUUGCAUCGGGUACGGGCAGACUAGAGUGCUGUAGGGGAGACUGGAAUUCCUGGUGUAGCGGUGGAAUGCGCAGAUAUCAGGAGGAACACCGAUGGCGAAGGCAGGUCUCUGGGCAGUUACUGACGCUGAGGAGCGAAAGCAUGGGGAGCGAACAGGAUUAGAUACCCUGGUAGUCCAUGCCGUAAACGUUGGGCACUAGGUGUGGGGCCAGUUCCACUGGUUCUGUGCCGCAGCUAACGCAUUAAGUGCCCCGCCUGGGGAGUACGGCCGCAAGGCUAAAACUCAAAGGAAUUGACGGGGGCCCGCACAAGCGGCGGAGCAUGCGGAUUAAUUCGAUGCAACGCGAAGAACCUUACCAAGGCUUGACAUGUACGAGAACGCCCCAGAGAUGGGGUUCUCUUUGGACACUCGUACACAGGUGGUGCAUGGUUGUCGUCAGCUCGUGUCGUGAGAUGUUGGGUUAAGUCCCGCAACGAGCGCAACCCUUAUUCUAUGUUGCCAGCGGGUUAUGCCGGGGACUCAUGGGAGACUGCCGGGGUCAACUCGAAGGAAGGUGGGAAGACGUCAAAUCAUCAUGCCCCUAAGUCUGGGCUUNCCCNGCUACAUGGCCGGUACGAAGGNUGCAAACCGUGAGGGGANCGAUUCCAAAAACCCGUCUCAUUCGAACCGGUCUC
rnacentral:rRNA from 1 species